GUUGUUGUUUUUGGUGCAUCUAAUGGAAAAGAAUGGAUACGCGCAGUCACGGCCACAUUACGGAACAACUCCCUGGCGUGGUUAUACCAUUGGUUCAUAUUCUUAAACGCUCCGGCUUGACACUGGCGCAGCGUGUCCCUGGAGCUGUCAGACACCAUCCCAGUGUUGGUAGCUACAAAGAUGGCUUCUUUGUGUGGAUAAACAUCGGGUUCCUCUGCUCUACAAAGUGAAGAGCAAAACCCGACCCCGCCCUCUGCCACAUGUGACAGCGACUGUCGUGUGAGUUCGGAUGGGGAACCUGGUAAUGAAGAACUGUCCGGUAGUGGUGAUGAUACAGUACGUCAAUACAAAUGAAUAACGAAGAGGUUGACGCAUCAAUCUUCAAACUACCAUCGCACCUGAAUGUUUCAUGUCUAUGCUUGUGUGUUCGUCCAAAUGUUAAUAAUGAUGUUGCUCAACCAGGUUUAGCUAACGAUGUCCCUAAUGAGCCCGAUGUUGUGGCCCAGAUAAACUACAGCAGUAGUUUAUUGCAUAUUCAAACACUGUUUAAAGGGGGUUCUGGUUGAUGAAUGCCCGGCCUGUUUGAUUGACCAACCCGGUCAACGGGGUCACACAUGCCUGGCUGUCAGCUACAUAGAUGGGUUUGAAGAUAUGACGUUUGCCGCAUUAGAAAUUUAUAAGUCUCUCAGUCUAGCCCGUAUUUUAUCGGGUGUUCUGUGCAUCGCCAGGUGUCUGGGUUUGUACACCAUUACAAAUGACACUGAGUGGGGCAUAAAACACUUGCUGAAAAACAAAAUUGACGACUGCUUGCCAUACGUGCAUGUAGGUUUCAUACAUGAACAGCAAGAUGAAAAAUUAGUAGACGUGACUUUUGAUGCACUGCAAAACAAACAUGAUUCUUAUUUUUACAGACGCAAAAAAAAGAUCUAUGUAAAAUGUGAAAUACACGCCAUGUGAAUAGAGCUUUCACUCUGUUUUACAGACCCAGGUGUGCCAUUGUCCGAAAAACGAAGAAUUUUGAAUGUAUACGUCUGAAUUCUUACAAAGAGUGUUUUACACACUUCUUUCUACAAAGCUUGAUAUGAAAAACAAAGAGUCGAAUGCUAAUGUCCUUAAAUUUGUUAGAUGUGUAUGUCCUUAAAUUUGUUAGAUAAGAGAUAGAUUUGUGUGUCAAGAACAUGAGUGAAAUUAUUGCAGAUCUGAUGUUUUCAGAUCAGAAACAGAAGCCUGGUGGCUUCUGCAGUGUGUAUUCCAAAAUACAACGUGUUUUGCACAGAACCUGUGGUAACACCAUCCGCAGGCA